rnacentral:rRNA from 1 species
AUUGAACGCUGGCGGCAGGCUUAACACAUGCAAGUCGAGCGGGGGAGGUUGCUUCGGUAACUGACCUAGCGGCGGACGGGUGAGUAAUGCUUAGGAAUCUGCCUAUUAGUGGGGGACAACAUUCCGAAAGGGAUGCUAAUACCGCAUACGCCCUACGGGGGAAAGCAGGGGAUCUUCGGACCUUGCGCUAAUAGAUGAGCCUAAGUCGGAUUAGUUAGUUGGUGGGGUAAAGGCCUACCAAGGCGACGAUCUGUAGCGGGUCUGAGAGGAUGAUCCGCCACACUGGGACUGAGACACGGCCCAGACUCCUACGGGAGGCAGCAGUGGGGAAUAUUGGACAAUGGGCGGAAGCCUGAUCUAGCCAUGCCGCGUGUGUGAAGAAGGCCUUUUGGUUGUAAAGCACUUUAAGCGAGGAGGAGGCUCUUAAGGUUAAUACCCUUGAUGAGUGGACGUUACUCGCAGAAUAAGCACCGGCUAACUCUGUGCCAGCCGCCGCCGUAAAAC